GCCUAUCGUUCCACCUAUUUGGGAGGCUGAGGUAGGAGGAUCUCUUGAGUCUAGGAGUUAUGGCUAUAGUGUUGCUGUACCAACUGAGUGUCCACACUAAGUUUGGCAUCAAUAUGGUGAGCUCCUGGGGUUGGAGGACCACCAGGUUGCCUAAAGAAGGUGAAUCAGCAGGGCUCAGAAACAGAGUAGGUCAUAACUCCCAUGCUGAUUAGUAGUGGGAGCGCACCUGUGAAGAGCCAUUGCACUUCAGCCUGGGCAACACAGAGAGACCCUGUCUCUU
ensembl:misc_RNA Metazoa_SRP Metazoan signal recognition particle RNA